AGAAUGUAAUAGUAGGGGGGGGGAAGCAAGAAAGAAGAAGUGUCGGCGUGGUCUCAGCACAUAGCAGUUGUCCAUUCAAGGGUUACGAGGAGGGAUCUUCCGUAUUUACCCUCGUUUUUUUUUCUUUUUUGUUUAUCAUUUGAAUUUUAUUUGUGUGUUUGAAGUCACUCAACCUCACGGUUCUUUGGGUUGACCAGUAAAUAUUCAAAGUGUAUUGACAUUUGAUGUGUCAAAUGAGCUAAAAUGGUGGUGGUGUCUCAAAGGAAGUGUUGUUCAUCAAUCAUCAGUGAAGACUAGUGUCAUCAAAUCAUCGCUUAUAUUAGGAUUUGAGGUCAAGAAUGACGUUUGACAGACGGAUACUCAGUCUGUCCUUCUUAGUCCUUUCACUUGGAUCCACUCUGGUUGAGCCUCACCACCAAGGGAACAGACGGAGAAGCAUUCAUGACCUUGAAGAUACGAAUGAUGGGUUCAUUAAUUGGGAAGAGAGAUGCUUCAAAAGGGGUGGUAGACCCGUUUUAAAUGCUUGGCUAAGCUCUCAAGAGGAAUUAGUCUAUUGCAUAAUGCAAAACUUUGAUUUUGAAGAGAUUCAAAAGGAAUUAUUCCUUUCGAAAAGUGGAAAAGGUGUGAAUAGUGAUAUGUUUCAAAGCUACUGUGGUCAACCCAUGGCUCGGAGCCUUCCAUGUGUGAAAAAUUUCCUAGAAGCCUCUAGUCAAUGCUUAGAAGAAGAAGAACAGAACUCACUCAACGUUACAAUGUCAAUGAUUGAAUCUGCUGUCAAGUUUAUUUGUCAUAAGAGAGCGAGACGCAUUUCAUUGUUCCUUCUCUCAAAUGGAAUGGAGUGUCUAAAGGAUCACGCAAGUGCCAUAUCCACCUGCAUCAAUACAUCCAUUCCUGAGAUUCUUCAUAUGAAUAAUCAAAAACGAUUUGAUCUCAUUGUAUUUAACCAUAGAAACUGUCAAAAAAUUGACCAGAUCCGUCAUUGUAUUGAAAAGGAAAUGUUCAAAUGUCCAAAUCCAGAGCCACUACGACUCCUAGAAAACUUUAUGUCAACCAUACGAAAAAAGACACACUGUCAUCGAGUCUCUAAGUACUCUCUCCUCUCUGGAUCAGAAAGAACCAACUCUCCGUCAUCCCCACUCAUAUUUCUCUUUUUCCUUCUUCACUACUUUCUCGGACUAUUUUUUAGCAAAUCGGACAAUGAUUGGUGGAGAGGAGGACUUUUAUGAAAGUGAUAUUAUUUCGUUAUUCCUCAUGUGUUGUUUUUAUGAAAACGUCCAAUAAGUUUAGGAAAUUAUAUAAAUAGUAUAUGUAUUGGAUAUAUAAUAUACGUACAUAGGAAGAGCAAUAAAUUAGGAAAUCAUUUGCUUUUUGUGCACACAAUAUGAAUCCGUAUUCAUUUUGACCAAAAUACACAAAGAAAAAAAUGAAGAAGCAUAGAACAAACAAAUUUAGCUCAAGGUUUGUCAGGAAUAUGUUUGUUUAUUUAUAUUCAAUAAGACUUCAUUUGAAAGCUUUUUUUCUCUUAUUAGUAUAAUAAUAAUAUUGCAGCUUACCUUACUAGACUUAUUUAUAAUCCCCUCCAGCCUCCUCCUUGAUUUAUUUGUUAUUGCAUACAAUGUGAUGCUUUUAAGCAACAAACAAAACCCCUUUUUACGUCCAAUUAUAAUUAUUAGAAUGAUUUUUCGUUAAAUUGCUGUACUUACUAAAUUAGAAACAAGAAAAAAAAAAGUAUCAUUCAAUAUUGAUCUUCAUAUCAUCAUCACUUUUGAUUAUUAAUUAGUAAUUAUUCAUACUUCAAUCAUGCUCAUUUUAUUUUUUAAUGUGUUACUUAGCAUUCCACUCUUGGGGGGUUAUUCUUUACUCAAUGAUUUUCUUGUUUUUUUAAAGAAAAAAACAAGAAAAAAAGGUUUUUCCUCUUGGCCAUUAGGUAUUUUGACUACCUUAAUAAUUCACUCCCAAUGGAUUUUUUUAAAUGCCCUUCUAGUCCUUAUACAUAUAAAUAUUACCAUAUUCUUAGAUUAAUAUCCUAAAUAAUUUUUCCCAUAGAAUGGCACUAUUCUUAAUUAAUUAAUUAAUUAUAAUGGUUGAGAACUUGAUAAAUGGAAUUACGUGUGUUAUUAAUCAUAUUUAUAUAUAGUGUGUGUUUACACAUUUUUUUUUAUUUUAUUAAGAAAAGCUACCUUAGUUACUUCUUCAUACUUAAGACAAGCUUUCUUAAUCUUCUAAGGCUUUCUCAUUUUUGUACAAUACUAGAUAAACUAUAUAGGAUUUUUUAAGUGAUGAAAAUAAUAUAAAUAAAUAUAUAUAUAACAUUUUAGUAAUAAUAAUUAAUAGUUUUUCGUUUUAAUUCUUUGCAUAUCAUAAUGUACUAAUGUUAUUUUUAUUUUAAAAAGAGUCCUUUUAAUACUCACUAGAAAGCGUAGGGUCUAACAAUAAAAAAAGCAUCUGAAGAAUAAAUCAUUUUCUCCUUCUA
rnacentral:misc_RNA from 1 species